UACGUAGGGUGCAAGCGUUAAUCGGAAUUACUGGGCGUAAAGCGUGCGCAGGCGGUUAUGCAAGUCAGAUGUGAAAUCCCCGGGCUCAACCUGGGAACUGCAUUUGUGACUGCAUAGCUAGAGUGCGGCAGAGGGAGAUGGAAUUCCGCGUGUAGCAGUGAAAUGCGUAGAUAUGCGGAGGAACACCGAUGGCGAAGGCAAUCUCCUGGGCCUGCACUGACGCUCAUGCACGAAAGCGUGGGGAGCAAACAGG
rnacentral:rRNA from 1 species